rnacentral:rRNA from 1 species
AUUGAACGCUGGCGGCAUGCCUUACACAUGCAAGUCGAACGGUAACAGGCCGCAAGGUGCUGACGAGUGGCGAACGGGUGAGUAAUGCAUCGGAACGUGCCCAGUUGUGGGGGAUAACUGCUCGAAAGAGCAGCUAAUACCGCAUACGACCUGAGGGUGAAAGCGGGGGAUCGCAAGACCUCGCGCAAUUGGAGCGGCCGAUGUCAGAUUAGGUAGUUGGUGGGGUAAAGGCCUACCAAGCCGACGAUCUGUAGUUGGUCUGAGAGGACGACCAGCCACACUGGGACUGAGACACGGCCCAGACUCCUACGGGAGGCAGCAGUGGGGAAUUUUGGACAAUGGGCGCAAGCCUGAUCCAGCAAUGCCGCGUGCAGGAAGAAGGCCUUCGGGUUGUAAACUGCUUUUGUCAGGGAAGAAGUCCUCUGGGUUAAUACCCCGGGGGGAUGACGGUACCUGAAGAAUAAGCACCGGCUAACUCCGUGCCAGCCGCCGCCGUAACAC